CCAAUGCCAAGUCGAUGCCAUCUUGAAGAGUUUAAUUUUAUUUUUUAAGUUUUUUACCAUCAUGAUCAAAACUAAAAUUUUUGUGUUAAGAUUAUUUUAUAUUAUGACGAUAUUUGUAUAUGUGGUUACAUGACGUAAAUAUAAGAAGUGUUAUAUCAUAGUAUUGGUAUAUUUUCCUUUAUCACGCACUAACGUCGUUAUCAACAUAUAAAACAAAUGAUAAGCCUUUGGUAUAAGAGGCGCUGAAAUUCGAAACUUUAUUCAGAACGGAAGUUUCGGCUUACUGCCUGUGUACUUUUUGUUUUUUUAUUGGGAAUGCCGCCUCCACCCGGACCUCACCACCCGCCGCAUGGCCCAGGAAGCCCAGGAGGUCCAGGAGGCCCAGGAGGUCCAGGAGGACCGGAAGGACCGGGAGGACCAGGAGGUCCUGGUCCUCACGGACCUCCGGAACCUCACCACCCGCCACCGCAUCCGCAUUAAAAUGAACAUCAUCAACCAUUCUAUCCUUGUGCAUGAUUAUGCAAAGUAAAUGCUUUAAUAAUGUGUAACUAAGUAUAUUUUAAGCCAGUAUAAACCUUUAAAAAUACAAAA